AUGUCGAUCCUGUGGGAGAAGAGCCCGGCGUGGCGGUGGCUGGUGGGGCGGACGCGGGACUCCAAGCCCUUCUUCUUCACCUUCGCCGCGCUCUGCGGCGUCGUCCCCGGCGUCGUCGGCUACGGCGUCAUGCAGCUCACCAGCUCCCGCAACGACAAGCUCGAGGCCCACCUCCGCUCCAACGCCCGACCAGAGACCACGAUGAUGGGACAAAUCAAUAGGGAGAGACUCGCAGAGUUUCUCGGUGAGAUACAAAGGAAGGAGAACACAAAUGACAGAUACGUCGCUGCUCUUAAAGGGGAGACACUGACAAGGAAGCGCUAUGAACGUAUCCAGCCCGUCCCCCAGCAAGCUGCACAGGAGAAUGCGAAGGACCAGAAAGCUACCCAGGAGAAUGCCAAGGCAAAGUGA
rnacentral:rRNA from 1 species